AAGAGAGACUGCUCUACAAUCCAGUACCCACUGGUAUCAAACUAGGGGUCACCCUGUAUGCAGUUCCCUGCAUUAGCAGCCUGAGAUCUACUUUUGACUUUUUUAUAACAAAGGAGAUCUUUUACCUGCUGUGCACCCUUACAAACCUGCACGGGAGGCGAAGGUGUGAGAAUUGGAGGAUUAUAGAUAAAGUGGAGAUGUGAGCUUACACCAGGAUAAAGCAAUACAUAGCAUGUUGGAUGACAACACUGGAAGUUCUCAGGAAGUAAAAAAUUGCAUGGGGUUCAGACUCCAACUGACAGAGGAGCUCCGAGGACAACGUCUUUACUUCGGUCCCCUUUGCAGAGGAACUCCUCAGAUGAAAACUGGCACAGGGGAAACAACCCAGAGCUUCCUCCCCAGCUCCUCCAGUUGCAACAGAGGAAGAUUUUGUUGUCUGUCUUUGGCUUUACCAAAACUACCACGGUGAUAUCCCACAUGCCAAAGCAACAGAGGAAUGUGCUUCUUUUGACAGCAACACACAGGGAACCAGCAGUCAGUGAUGGGGAAUAAAGGACCGUGAAAGCAAGAAGCAAUCCUGGACUACAAUAGGCACAAAUACAGCUUGGAUAACUUAGAGAGGAUGUUGGCAACUCGAGUUGUUUUGUAAACGUAAACAAGGGGUGGCCAUUUUUGGCCAUGAACAAGCUGUUUUUGCUCUCCCUGCACAAAAAUAACAAUGUAUUAUAAUCAAUGUUGAUGUGAAUCAAUUACAUGCCCCAGACUCUACAAUUAAUAAUACAAGAAAUUCCAGUAGCAAUGCAAAUAUAUAAGAUUGUGAGAUUUGAGGUUGUCUUCCAGCUAGUGCAGUGGAAAAACAAACUGUUGUUUAAAGGGUUAAAAAUUUAAAAAGUAAUAAUUAUUUUAUAUUUAUGAAAAGAACUGAAGUUAGUUAAAAGCUUUAUGCAGAAAAAAUGUCAAAAAACACAAAAAUAAUAAAAAUUACAAACCUAAUGUGUUGGUGGCCACUUUUGGCCACGAACAAGCUGAAAGGAGUUGAUUGUGAACUCAAGUUAAGCCCAGCCCUCCCAGUGUGGGCAGUUUUCGGUUGGAGCCUCAUGGAAGAACAGUACUGAUUUUGCACCUGCAUACAGGGAGCACUUCUAUGAUGCAGUGGGUGGUACAGGAUACAUUUCAUACAUUUGAAAACUGUCCAAAGAAAGAUUCGUCGUGGAUCUCCAACACCACCUAAUAAGUUGAGAGACAGUUCUUCAGGUCUCCCAAAUCUCCAAAGGACUGUGAAUGUUAUACACCACCUUGAUGGGGAUGCUUGCAGGGAGGCCAUGUCUUUGCUUAACCAUACUACAGACAACUUUGUGAUUUUCCAGAAGAUGAAAGAGACCUUUCAGCACCAUCAGGGGCGUGUUAAUGACCCGAGCAGAAGCGUUGGUAUCCUAUCCACUUUUCCAAGAUUCCUGGAUACAAAAGGACUGGUGGAGCAAGACUUCACUCUCCUGUUCGAUGACGACACAUCCUCCAGGUUGCUUCAGAAAUGGAAUACAUUCUUGGUAAAUGGUAAAUGGACUGAUUCUUAUAUAGUGCUUUUCUACUCUCCCGGAGUACUCAUAGCUAUAAAAGAGGCUCACUUCAACAUCAGAGUUGCUUCGCUUGGUUCAGAUAGCAGAAGGUCAUCCAGAAAAUCAUCAAGACGAUUCUACAA